rnacentral:rRNA from 1 species
UACUCCGGGGAUAACAGGCUGAUACCGCCCAAGAGUUCAUAUCGACGGCGGUGUUUGGCACCUCGAUGUCGGCUCAUCACAUCCUGGGGCUGAAGUAGGUCCCAAGGGUAUGGCUGUUCGCCAUUUAAAGUGGUACGCGAGCUGGGUUUAGAACGUCGUGAGACAGUUCGGUCCCUAUCUGCCGUGGGCGCUGGAGAACUGAGGGGGGCUGCUCCUAGUACGAGAGGACCGGAGUGGACGCAUCACUGGUGUUCGGGUUGUCAUGCCAAUGGCACUGCCCGGUAGCUAAAUGCGGAAGAGAUAAGUGCUGAAAGCAUCUAAGCACGAAACUUGCCCCGAGAUGAGUUCUCCCUGACUCCUUGAGAGUCCUGAAGGAACGUUGAAGACGACGACGUUGAUAGGCCGGGUGUGUAAGCGCAGCGAUGCGUUGAGCUAACCGGUACUAAUGAACCGUGAGGCUUAACCUUACAA